rnacentral:rRNA from 1 species
GACGAACGCUGGCGGCGUGCCUAAUACAUGCAAGUAGAACGCUGAAGCUUGGUGCUUGCACCGAGCGGAUGAGUUGCGAACGGGUGAGUAACGCGUAGGUAACCUGCCUGGUAGCGGGGGAUAACUAUUGGAAACGAUAGCUAAUACCGCAUAAUAGUAGAUGUUGCAUGACAUUUGCUUAAAAGGUGCAAUUGCAUCCCUACCAGUUGGACCUGCGUUGUAUUAGCUAGUUGGUGAGGUAACGUCUCACCAAGGCAACGAUACAUAGCCGCCCUGGGGGGGUGAUCGGCAGCAUGAGGACUGAGAAACGACCCAAACGCCGACGGGAGGCGGAAGGAGGGAGUAUUCGGAAAUGGACGGAAGUCUGACCAGCAACGCCGCGUGAGUGAAGAAGGGUAUCGGAUCGUAAAGCUCUGUUGUAAGAGAAGAAAGAGGGUGAGAGUGGAAAGUUCACACUGUGACGGUAUCUUACCAGAAAGGGACGGCUAACUACGUG